UGGGUUGUGGCUCAGCAGUAGAGCACUCGCCUAGCACAUGCGAGGCCCUGGGUUCAAUUCUCAGCACCACAU
rnacentral:tRNA from 1 species